AUUGAACGCUGGCGGCAGGCCUAACACAUGCAAGUCGAACGAGUGGCGGACGGGUGAGUAAUGUCUGAGAAACUGCCUGAUUGCGGGGGAUAAAUACUGGAAACGGUAGCUAAUACCGCAUACCAUCGGAUGUACCCAGAUGGGCUUAGCUAGUAGGGGGGGUAAAGGCGCCCCUAGGCGACGAUCCCUUGCUGGUAUGAGAGGUUGACGAGCCACACUGGAACUGAGACACGGUCCAGACUCCUACGUGAGGCAGCAGUGGGGAAUAUUGCACAAUGGGCGCAAGCCUGAUGCAGCCAUGCCGCGUGUAUUAAGAAGGCCUUCGGGUUGUAAAGUACUUUCAGCGGGGAGGCGUUACCCGCAGAAGAAGCACCGGCUAACUCCGUGCCAGCAGCCGCGGUAAUUC
rnacentral:rRNA from 1 species